UUAUGGCUCAGAUUGAACGCUGGCGGCAGGCUUAACACAUGCAAGUCGAGCGGGGGAAGGUAGCUGCUACCGGACCUAGCGGCGGACGGGUGAGUAAUGCUUAGGAAUCUGCCUAUAGUGGGGGACAACAGUUGGAAACGGCUGGCUAAUACCGCAUACGCCUACGGGGGAAAGCAGGGGAUCUUCGGACCUUGCGCUAAUAGAUGAGCCUAAGUCGGAUUAGCUAGUUGGUGGGUAAAGGCCUACCAAGGCGACGAUCUGUAGCGGGUCUGAGAGGAUGAUCCGCCACACUGGGACUGAGACACGGCCCAGACUCCUACGGGAGGCAGCAGUGGGGAAUAUUGGACAAUGGGGGCAACCCUGAUCCAGCCAUGCCGCGUGUGUGAAGAAGGGCCCUUUUGGUUGUAAAGCACUUUAAGCGAGGAGGAGGCGCCCUAGAUUAAUACUCUAGGUGCGUGGACGUUACUCGCAGAAUAAGCACCGGCUAACUCUGUGCCAGCAGCUGC
rnacentral:rRNA from 1 species